rnacentral:rRNA from 1 species
UACGUAGGAGGCGAGCGUUAUCCGGAUUCACUGGGCGUAAAGCGCAUGUAGGCGGUUCGAUAAGUCCGCUGUUAAAGCCCCCGGCUCAACUGGGGGAGGUCAGUGGAGACUAUAGGACUUGAGGGCAACAGAGGCACGUGGAACUCCCGGUGUAGCGGUGGAAUGCGUAGAGAUCGGGAAGAACACCAGUGGCGAAGGCGACGUGCUGGGUUGCGACUGACGCUGAGAUGCGAAAGCGUGGGGAGCAAACAGG